rnacentral:rRNA from 1 species
AUGAUUCACGCUGAUGUUGUAGAGACACAACAACACGAAGCUCGCCGGACAACCCGGCACAGCGGGCAAGUAGUUACGUCCGCCGGUUUACCGAACAGUCCGGUUCGGAAACGCCUUUCAGAGGGCACUUCUCAUUCGUCUUCCGGCAAGUCAUCAGCCACCCAGCUUCCACCACUGAAAAUGGUGCUUGGGGCCAAACCCAGGCCAAGCAAGAAAACUCGUCUGGACAAAGCGGUAGAAGAAAAUAUCGCUCCUGAACCGGACAAAAUACCAGAUCCUGAAGAAACCAUCCGUUAUGAUGUGCUGAACGACCCACCACCGCAAGACCAUGACUUUGUUGCUGAAGAGGCACAUGUUGAUUCCACAAGCCCUAUUGAUCAGCCCACAAGCCCUGUCCGGAUUGACAAAACAAUGAGUCCAUCGAAGCAUGCUGACAAACCGGCGACCCCAGUACGAACCGGCGAAGCAAAAGAUGAUGAUGAUGUUAUUACUGGCAUUGGUCGUACGAAGCCAAGCAAUCCUGUCGCCUUAUCCAAGCAUACUGCCAAAGAUGAAUUUGCUGCAAUUGGUAAAGGCAAAUGGAAUGCCGAUUUGGCAACCUAUGCUGCUCUGAACGCCCAAGAUCUCCAUUCUGGCUAUCUGAACCGGCUAUACACCAGCCGUGAUUAUGAAGCCGGUCUGGUUAAUAUGAUGAAGGACAAAUAUGAGGUUGAGCUGAGCAAAAGAGAAAGUCAAAUCGUCGAUCUGCAAGAAAACCUGAAGUCCCAACAAGCCGAAACCUCGAAGGCAAAAGAGGAAUUAACUAGCGCUUUAAGCGUCAUGGAGAAGCUUAAGGAGGGCUACAACAAAGAGCUGGCGGAUUGGGCCACCGAGAAAGCCGCUUUAACUCAAUGA